CUUGUACUUCUAAAAGAAUAUGGUCAAAUAGGAUUGUGAUAUUUUAUCAAGCAUGGCGUACUUUAUAUGAAAACUUGAAAUGGAAAGCUCUUACCUGGUUCUACUUUGGAACAACUAGCUAGUUGGUAGAAUUUGGACCCAACAACUUCAAGUAUCGAAUACUGUUGUACAACUGCAGAAAAGCUGGCUGACGAACAAAGAAAGUUUGAUGCAGUGAUUGCUUUAGAGGUGAUUGAACACGUAGCAAAUCCUGCCGAGUUCUGCAAAUCUCUCUCGGCUUUAACUGCUCAUGAAGGAGCUACGGUGGUUUCAACAAUUAACCGCUCUAUGAGGUCAUAUGCAACUGCCAUUGUUGCAGCAGAGUACCUGCUACAUUGGCUUCCUAAAGGCACGCAUCAAUGGUCAAGUUUCCUUACCCCAGAAGAACUGACCAUGAUUUUAAAGCGAGCUUCGAUCGAUGUGAAAGAGAUGGCCGGAUUUGUGUUCAACCCCAUAACACGGAGAUGGUCUCCGUCAGACGAUACUAGUGUGAAUUUUAUUGCUUUUUGUACUAAAGAAGAAUAGGGUUGUUAUG